rnacentral:lncRNA from 1 species
UUGUAAUAAAAUUUUUCUUUUCUUAAAAAAAACUGACUCGGCAAAAAUAAAAUGAAAAAAACCAAUCAAACCUCCCUUGGGUUGCCUCCCAAGCAGCGCUUCGUUUAACGUCGCAUGGCUCGACGGGAAACCUCAUACUCAGAUGAGUUUAACAGUUUCAAUUGGUCCCCCUUCACCGGGAUUGUAUGGUUUCAACCUCUGACCAUUAACCUUGAAGGUGUCG